CCUCUCUUAACAUUACUCAAACCCUAAAGCUUCUCAAAACCAGCGCAUCCCUUUCUACCCUCUCAACCCGCCUCCCUCUCUUUCUACCCUCUCAACCCGCCUCCCUCUCUUUCUCUCUCACUUUCUCUCUCACUUCCGUCCCUCUUCUUCACGUCGAACAUCUGCUACCACCUCUAGGAAUUGUUCGCAUCAACCGACGAGCCUUUUAGUGAUAGUUGUAGCUUGAUAUUUCAAUUGUUACCACCUUUAGGAAUCGUUCGCAUCAACCGACGAUCGAAACUUCGACGCCAUGACCUUCAGUGAGCGAUCUUCAGCGUCGACGACACCAACAACAGCAACAACACUUCGAACACCUAACGAAUCUUCAGCAAACGAACGAAUCUUCAGGUAACUUAUUUUUUUCUUUUUCUUUUUCUUGUUUUUAUUCGCCUGUUUUAAUUUUUCGUAAUUUGUCAUUUUUUUCAGAAUUCAGAUCUUGUUUGAAGACCUCAUUUUUUCAUUUCCGUGAAUUUUUCGAAGAACUCGUUUUUUCAUCCUAAAAUCUCCAGAUGUGUUCGAAGUAUAACAACGAGAAGGAAGGUCAAGAUGUGAAGGAAGCUCCAACAUUUUUUUUACUAUUAUUGAUAGAUUUGUUUUUAUGAAUUAUUGUAAUAUAUAUGUUCUAAAAUUCGAAGCAUUUUCGUUUUUAUUUUUCCAGAUCUGGUCGAAUUUUUGUACAGUAUUGUUAUUAGUUUUAUUUGAUUUUCAAUCCUCUA